AUGGUCAGAGGACCACAGCCAGCUGAAGCACAUCCGUCAUCCCUUCUCUGGUGUCGCGAUGACAAUAUAUUCAAGCGCAACUUCCAAUUUGCUCAAAACUCUGUGAAGCAAAACAAGAAGGAGUUUGGGCUGGACUUGAACCCUGGUCCCUCUAAGCCAAGGGCGGAUGGCACACGCGACGCAAAUCCCAAUGUCAUCGGGCCGUAUGCCAAUCUCGAAGGCCUCAUCACUCGCAUUCUAGUCCAAGGGACUGCCGUGAACGACCCUCCAGCAAACACUGAGUCUGAUGAUGCUCCUGCUGCCCCGGAGCCGAAGCAGACGAAGAAGAAGCCAAAAGCUUCAAAGUCAGCCACUUCUCCCAAGAUCUCCAGAGCGAAGCCAUUGGCCACUGCACCUCCUGAAGCAAGUGUGCAGUCUGAAGACUUAUCACGAGUCUCCAAACCCCAAGAAGCCAAGAAGCCUCAGCCACACACUGGCAAAGAGCUCACUGCCGCUGCCAUUCUGCGCUGCGAGGCCAUUGAUCUGUCAAGCGACGAAGAUCUUUCCGAUGACGCUCUUGAGCAGCUCAUCAAGAGCAAGGAGGAGGCUGAAAUCUUCAACAAUCUGCCUCUGUUUGAUGCAGCAAUCAUCCACAACUUCAUUGAUGAGUGGUUUGAUACACCCAACAUCAACUUCGAUGAUCUGCAGCUACCCAUUGGCCUCAGCGUAGCCUUCCAAGGCGCUAUUGCUUCAGAACUCGCAAUUGCCCAGCGCAUAGUUGAACUGAAGCAGAAAAUAGAUUUUGAAAAGGCUCAGUUCAAGCAGAAUAUGGCCCAUCUCAGCGUCCAAGAAGUCAAGGACUUCAAGGUCAUGCUGCAGAGUUGA
rnacentral:rRNA from 1 species